rnacentral:lncRNA from 1 species
AGAACUGGAAGGACUUAGAGCCCAUUAAGUCAGUGUCUUCGUGGCUUUAAGUUCCUCCCCGGCCUCCCUGCGCUUGCACUUCACCGGCAACGGGGUGUUCACUACCUCACGGUCUUUCCGUAGACACCUCCCUCCUACAAUGGGCGCUCGCUUAGUGGACUCCUAGGGUCGUGGCUCCAACGGGUGUUGUUUUCCCGAGAUCUCCAAUUCCACAGCCCAGCUUCAGACCCGCUAUAACCA